GUCUCCAUCGUCUAGGGGCCUAGGACUCCGGCCUUUCACGCCGGCAACGGGGGUUCGAAUCCCCCUGGAGACG
rnacentral:tRNA from 1 species